AUCCAGCUGAUGGGUCCAAAAUAGGACGAAAGGCUCGUUCUAUAU
rnacentral:hammerhead_ribozyme from 1 species